CUCACACGGUAUAGAAAUGUCUUGCUCCUGAAAACUCAGCUUCCCUCGAGGACCAGGAUUUGUAUUUUAGUGGAUCUCUGUAACUUGUUACUCCCUCCUCACCAAGUGCUGUUACGGAACAAAACGUGCCUGCGUGGGAGUCACUUGGUGAGGGGGACACUGGUCUUGGGGAUUAAAGCGGAGGUGGGGAAGCAGGCCUGCGAAGAUCUGACAGUGUUUUCCUAUCCUCCCACAUUGACUUCAGUUGAGAGCAGGCGUGAUGGAAAUUGGGUCAGGGCUCUCGAGAGGCUGCGCCUUUGCCUCCUGGGGCCCUCACAGGGCCAGGGACACAACAGGAAGGCUCUGGUGACCUACGCCAGACUGCCCGUUGUGUCCCUCAAGGGCUGCUCAUCUGGCUGCUUGUUGCAUUUGUUCCAGGAGCCCACAGACAGCCUUGAAGACAGUCUCCUUUCUUCCAGACCAGAGUUCCUCCUAGGCCCCGAGGGAGAGGAGGAGGAGAACCCGGCAGCCAAGCACGGGGAGAACCCAGGCAACUGCGCCGCGCCCACGGAGCAUGCCGGUAGGUGGUCGCAGCCCGCGGGAACCUGCUGGGCAGCCCUCGCCUUGGGCAGGGCCUUAUGUUCGGAACCUCAGCGUCUUAGAUUAGUGGCGACUCGGCCAAGUUCAGACAUGGCUUCCUCUUGUGCCGAGGAGCCGCUGCCCACCAAGCUGUGCCGUGAACAGAUGCAUCGUGGCUCUGUGGGGGCUGGGGGUGGGAGGCGCAGCUCGCCCUGCGUCUUUCUGGCAGCGGGGGCCUGUUACGGGUGCAGACCCAUCCUAUUAGUGUGGAGGGCACCGCCGCCCCACUUGCCCUGCGCCGUGCUCCCUGUGGAGAGGAGACUGAGAACUGCGGCUGCAGGGACUGAGGGCGAGGCUGAUGAGGGUCUCAGCAGCCACCUGGGAUUGCACAGUAGUGGGGGCUUGGGGACAGCGGCAGCACAACUGGUGCUCAUGCUGUGUCCACGCCCCAGGGCCACUGUGCAUAGUUGUGGCUCGCCUCCUGGCUGA
rnacentral:lncRNA from 1 species